GAGCGCCGAAAGGCCCUGCGUGAGGAAAGUCCGGGCUCCACAGGGCAAGGAUAACGGGUAACACCCGCCGGGGGCGACCCCAGGAAAAGUGCAACAGAGAGAUACCGCCGCGUUUUUCGCGGUAAGGGUGGAAAGGCGAGGUAAGAGCUCACCCGCCACAUGGGAACAUCGUGGCGCUGUAAACUCUAUCCGGAGCAACACCGUGGAGGAAACGCAAGGCCGGCCCGGCUGUUUCCGAGGAGGUGGCUUGAGCGCCGCGGCAACGCGGCGCCUAGACAGAUGGCUGUCACGACAGAACCCGGCUUACAGGACCGAU
rnacentral:RNase_P_RNA from 1 species